rnacentral:rRNA from 1 species
CCUUCGGGCGGCAGCAGUGAGGAAUAUUGGUCAAUGGACGCAAGUCUGAACCAGCCAUGCCGCGUGCAGGAAGACGGCUCUAUGAGUUGUAAACUGCUUUUGUACGAGGGUAAACGCAGAUACGCGUGUCUGUCUGCAAGUAUCGUACGAAUAAGGAUCGGCUAACUCCGUGCCAGCAGCCGCGGUAAUACGGAGGAUUCAAGCGUUAUCCGGAUUUAUUGGGUUUAAAGGGUGCGUAGGCGGGCAGAUAAGUUAGAGGGUAAAUCCCGAGGCUCAACUUCGGAAUUGCCUCUGAUACGGUUCGGCUGGAGAGUAGUUGCGGUAGGCGGAAUGUAUGGUGUAGCGGUGAAAUGCUUAGAGAUUAUACAGAACACCGAUUGCGAAGGCAGCUUACCAAGCUACUUCUGACGUUGAGGCACGAAAGCGUGGGGAGCAAACAGGAUUAGAUACCCGGGUAGAC